rnacentral:tRNA from 1 species
CCGAGCAAGGUGUUACGGUAGCAUGCGUGGUUUGGGACCAUGCGGCCCAGGUUCGACUCCUGGUGCUCGGACCA